rnacentral:ncRNA from 1 species
AACAUGAUGGAUCACACAAGUGUGCCAUGGUCACAGGCUCCCAUACGCAACAUAUGACAUAAGUAUGAACAAAUUUAGAUUGUGAAACUACAAAUGGCUCAUUAAAUCAAUUAUAGUUUGUUUGAUGGUAUUUGUUACUCGGAUAAUCGUAGUAAUUCUAGUCUAAUACGUGCAAAGAAACCAUGACUACUGGAAGGGGUGAAUUUAUUAGAUAAAAGGUUCACGCAGACUUUUCCUGUUGCUCUGAUGAUUCUUGAUAACUUGAUAGAUCACACGGCCUUUGUGCCAAUGGCACAUCAUUCAAAUUUCUACCCUAUCAACUUUUGAUGGUAGGAUAGUAGCCUACUAUGGUGGUGACGGGUGACGGAGAAUUAGGGUUUGAUUUUGGAUAGGAAGCUUGAGAAAUGACUACCACAUCCAAGGAAGGCAUCAUGCAUACAAAUUACACAAUUCUGACAUGGGGAGGUAGUGACAAUAAAUAACAAUACUGGGCUCUAUGAGUCUGGUAAUUUGAAUGAGUACAAUCUAAACCCCUUAACGAGGAUCCAUUGGAGGGCAAGUAUACUUCCAACAGCUACAGUAAUUCCAACUCCAAUAGCAUAUAUUUAAGUUUGUUGCAGUUAAAAAGCUCAUAUUUGGACUUAGGGGUGGGUCGAUCGGUCUACCUCACGGUUUGUAAUAGCCCGUUUUCAUUUAAAUUAGAAUAGUGGUUUUGGUACCACAAAUAUGAGGUCAAAAAAUUUAUUUUAUUAUUAUUUUAAUACCUAUAGUAUGAUAGAAGUAUUGUAUAAAAAUUUUGUUAAGAAAUUUUACCGUUUACAUGUUCAAUUUGAUAAAAAGGACUAAAUCACAUAAAGUACAAAAGUUGAGCUCUAAUAGCUAAAGGUAUUAAAUAGCUAUAAAACAUUAAAGUGAAAGUCUUUAUAUGGUAAUUAGACCAUUAGAAGUGAUAGUGGAAGCGCAUGGUUUGGCAUUUGUGUAAAUUUUAUUAAUUUUUAAGGUUAAUUAAGUAAUUUGUAAAAUAAUGAUAAUAUUAAUCAAAUAAAACUAAAACCAUCAUCCUUAUUCAUCAUCAUCAACCGAUUUAAGAAGAGAAAAAGAAGCCAUUGUUGAGCUAGGCUUCAGCCACUUGGAUUGCUUGAUUAGAUCCAGCUAGAGCUCGUACGGAAUUAGAUCGGGGCAAAGAGAAACUCUCGGAUUAAUGGCCUCCAUAUCUACGAAUACUCGUUGAGGUAAGUUUGUGUAAUUAAAUUAUGUUUAUAUGUUUUUAAUUGAAUUAUAUAAAUGUUAUGAGUUGUCAUAUAUAAUUUCUGAGUGUAUAUCCAUCGACGUACGACGAUUACCAAGUCUCAUGUAAACAUUAGGAAUCCGUAGGAUACAAAUGACAUGUAGGGUUGCUAGUUAGGCUAUUACACAGCCUAUCACAUGGCCUGGCACACGGGUGUGUGAGGUUAUUUCAAAGGGUACAUGGCUUGGCAUAUGGGCAUGUGGUUUGGCCAUGUGACCCAAGUUAGUGAGUUACUCAGGCACGGACAAGGGCUGGGACACUGCUGUGUGUCCUUACUUCGAAUGCCCACACAGCCUGAGACACGGGAGUGCCUCUUUCACGACCUGGCCACACGACUAUGAGACCCCUGCAGUGUUGAAAAUUUCAAUGUUUUUUGAAAAUUUCUCUUAGUUUUCGAUUUAGUCCCGACUUGUUUCUAAUGUGUAUUUUGGGCCUCGAGGACUUGUAUAAGGGACAAUUUGCAUGUUUUGAUUUGGUUUUAAUAUGUUUAAUGAUAUGUUAUGAAAUGUUUGAAAUUUCUAUUUGUUUGAAUUGUAAACUCUGGUAAUGCUCCGUAACCCUGUACUGACGAGAAUACAAGUUAGGGGUGUUACACGGUUAGCACCAGUCUACUUGUCCCUACUACCGAUGGUGCACUCUUAGCCUCAAUUGGCCGAGUCACUCCUCCGAUGCUGUCACUUUGAAGAAAUUAGAAUACUCAAAGCAGGCCUACACUUGUAUACAUUAGCAUGGGAUAAUAUUAUAGGAUUUCGAUCCUAUUGUGUUAGCCUUUGAGAUCGAAGUAAUGAUUAACAAAGACAGUCGAGGACAGUUUUAUUUCAUAGUUAGAGGUGAAAUUCUUUGAUUUAUGAAAGACGAACAACUACGAAACCAUUAGCCAAAGAUGUUUCAAUUAAUCAAGAACGAAAGUUGGGCUCGAAGAUAAUCAGAUACCAUCCUAAUGUCAACCAUAAGUGAUGUCGACCAGGGAUCAACGGAUGUUGCUUUUAGGACUCCGCUGACACUUUAUGAGAAAUCAAAGUCUUUGGGUUCUUGGGGGAGUAUCUGUAACACCCCUUACCCGUGUCCAAUGCCGGGACAGGGUACGAGGGAUUACUGGACUUCAACAUAAUCAAUA